rnacentral:rRNA from 1 species
UACGUAGGGGGCAAGCGUUGUCCGGAAUCAUUGGGCGUAAAGAGCGUGUAGGCGGUCCGAUAAGUCCGCUCUGAAAGUCCGGGGCUCAACCCCGGGAGGCGGGCGGAUACUGUCGGGCUAGAGUCCGGAAGAGGCAAGUGGAAUUCCUGGUGUAGCGGUGAAAUGCGCAGAUAUCAGGAGGAACACCGAUGGCGAAGGCAGCUCGCUGGGACGGUACUGACGCUGAGACGCGAAAGCGUGGGGAGCAAACAGG